CCUACGGGAGGCAGCAGUGAGGAAUAUUGGUCAAUGGGCGUAAGCCUGAACCAGCCAAGUCGCGUGAGGGAUGAAGGUUCUAUGGAUCGUAAACCUCUUUUAUAAGGGAAUAAAGUGCGGGACGUGUCCCGUUUUGUAUGUACCUUAUGAAUAAGGAUCGGCUAACUCCGUGCCAGCAGCCGCGGUAAUACGGAGGAUCCGAGCGUUAUCCGGAUUUAUUGGGUUUAAAGGGAGCGUAGGCGGACGCUUAAGUCAGUUGUGAAAGUUUGCGGCUCAACCGUAAAAUUGCAGUUGAUACUGGGCGCCUUGAGUGCAGCAUAGGUAGGCGGAAUUCGUGGUGUAGCGGUGAAAUGCUUAGAUAUCACGAAGAACUCCGAUUGCGAAGGCAGCUUACUGGACUGUAACUGACGCUGAUGCUCGAAAG
rnacentral:rRNA from 1 species